rnacentral:rRNA from 1 species
GAUGAACGCUAGCUACAGGCUUAACACAUGCAAGUCGAGGGGCAGCAUGAAAGGAACUUCGGUUCUUUUUGAUGGCGACCGGCGCACGGGUGCGUAACGCGUAUCGAACCUGCCUCAUACUCGGGGAUAGCCUUGCGAAAGUAAGAUUAAUACCCGGCGGUCUCGGAUGGCCGCAUGACUGUCCGAGUGAAGAUUUAUCGGUAUGAGAUGGCGAGGCGUCCCAUUAGCUAGUGGGGGAGGUAACGGCUCACCAAGUCAUCGAUGGGUAGGGGUUCUGAGAGGAAGGUCCCCCACAUUGGAACUGAGACACGGUCCAAACUCCCACGGGAGGCAGCAGUGAGGAAUAGUGGUCAAUGGACGAAAGUCUGAACCAGCCAAGUAGCGUGAAGGACGACGGCCCUCUGGGUUGUAAACUGCUUUUAGUUGGGAAUAAAAAGAGGGACGUGUCCCUUAUUGUAUGUACCAUCAGAAAAAGGACCGGCUAAUUCCGUGCCAGCCGCCGCCGUAA